GUACUUAUUUCAGUAGCACAUAGACUAAACUUGUAACCAUGCAGAAGAGACAAGCAUGGUCCCUGCACAAGGAUGGCAUGCAGACUCAUGCACAUUCCAUUUUUUCU
ensembl:snRNA U6 U6 spliceosomal RNA